UUAACAGGCCAAGGCAGUCUUCACAGGCCAAACUCAAUGCAUGUAUUGACAAAAGCUGUUGUCUUCUUUUGGAAAACUGUCUCCUCUUUGAACACUGUCUUCGGUUCAGCAUCUGUGAUUACUCAAAGCGUGUUAACAUUUCAGCCAUUUGCCCAGGCAUUUUUCAAACUCACCAACUCCAUUUCCUCCUCCUCCGACUGCCAUCGACAGAAGGAAAGAAGUGAAUUACGGAAAAGGAGCAGAGUUCGCAGGAGAGGGGGGAGGGGACAGCUAUCAGGAUUUUAUAGAAUCCUCCCUGAGCCUGAAAGGAGAAACAAGAAGCCCAUCUUCCAUCUUUCCCUUGCUGUGGGACAUACUGUGAGCAGGCCAGGGCUCCUACAACUCAUCCUCAAUCAAUAGCUGUGGGAAGACACGACAAGGGCGACAAGAUAUUAUCUGGCUCACACUCUGGGCCCCUGAUUAAGUCUUCAUCUACACUCUGUCACACUGAGAUGUGAUUAAUUUAAUACCAUUAUGGCCUAAUGACAGGCUGUCUGCAGACCUGCCACGGCAGGCACCUUCCACCGCCUCUACUGCUCAGGCAAGAUGGAAGCAACCUCCAGCCUCUGUCUAACCUGUUUCUGAGCUCCAACAAUACAUUCUGUCUGCUCUUGAUGCAUCCAAGGAACAAGAAAGCUCUUUCACAAGCUUUCUUGUCCUCUGUGAAGAAAAGCAUCCCUUCACAUUGUGCUGUCGCUAUCUUGUUCUACCAUGAGGAGGAUGUGCUCAAGGCAAUGUCCAGUGUUCUCCCCCAUAAGAAGUGUUGAACUGAUUGUUCAGGUUUCUCUUUAAACUAAAUGUUUCUUUUCACUACUCUUUCAUAAAGGUAAGAUUUGUGUAGUGCUUAAUAGAUAGAUUCCAUGUCAACAGAUGCUCAUGCCCGAGUUGUUGAUCUAUGCAGCUCCUCCAGAGUUUAUCUGA